GAGUGUGCCUGUACUGUACUGUGUGUGCCUGAUACUGUCAGAUCUCGAAAGUUAAGCAGGGCUAUGCCUGGUUAGUGCUUGGAUGGGAGACUGCCUUAGAAGACCAGGUGCUGCUAGACUCU
rnacentral:rRNA from 12 species